AUUGAACGCUGGCGGCAGGCUUAACACAUGCAAGUCGAGCGAACAGACGAGGAGCUUGCUCCUUUGACGUUAGCGGCGGACGGGUGAGUAACACGUGGGUAACCUAGCUUAUGGAGGGGGAUAACUUCGGGAAACCGGAGCUAAUACCGGAUAAUAUUUCGAACCGCAUGGUUCGAUAGUGAAAGAUGGCUUUGCUAUCACUUAUAGAUGAGCCCAAGUGGGAUUAGCUAGUUGGUGAGGUAAAGGCUCACCAAGGCAACGAUCUCUAGCUGGUCUGAGAGGGUGACCAGCCACACUGGAACUGAGACACGGUCCAGACUCCUACGGGAGGCAGCAGUAGGGAAUAUUGCGCAAUGGGGGCAACCCUGACGCAGCCAUGCCGCGUGAGUGAUGAAGGUCUUCGGAUCGUAAAACUCUGUUAUUAGGGAAGAACAAACGUGUAAGUAACUGUGCACGUCUUGACGUUAACUAAUCAGAAAGCCACGGCUAACUACGUGCCAGCAGCCGCGGUAAUACGUAGGUGGCAAGCGUUAUCCGGAAUUAUUGGGCGUAAAGCGCGCGUAGGCGGUUUUUUAAGUCUGAUGUGAAAGCCCACGGCUCAACCGUGGAGGGUCAUUGGGAACUGGAAAACUUGAGUGCAGAAAAGAAAGUGGAAUUCCAUGUGUAGCGGUGAAAUGCGCAGAAGAUAUGGAAGAACUCCCGAGGGCGAAAGCGACUUUCUUGGUCUGUGUACUGACGCCUCAUGUGCGAAAGCGUGGGGAUCAAACAGGAUUAGAUACCCUGGUAGUCCACGCCGUAAACGAUGACUGCUUGGUGGUUGAGGCUUUCCUCCCCUUCCCGCUGCUACUACGAUAUAUCGCACUCCCUGCUGGGGAGGACAACCGCGAGGUUGACUCUCAUGAGUUUUGACGGGCCCCCGCAACCGCGGGAGGAUGUGUGUUUUAUUUCUAAGACACGCAGAAACCCAUCUACUCUCGUGAUCUCCAUUGCAUCCUUCUAGAGAUAUAGGUGUCUCCUUCAACUCACAAACUGACGCUGGGUGCAUGUCUGCCGCCCGCUCUUGUCAAUGGAUGUUGAGUUAACUCCCGCAGCGCGCGCCUCCCUCAUUCUUACCUGCCAUCCUUACGUUAGCUCCUCUGAGACUACUGCCGAUGACCCACCGGAAGGAGGUGAUGAUGACGACUCAUCAUCGUGCUCCCUAUGAUUUGUACUACCCACCUGCUACGAUGGACAAUACAAAGAGCAACAAAGCCACCUGGACCAGCUCAUCCAUAAACGUGUUCUCCCUUAUUAUAGUAUUCCGCUCCUCUCUCCAAGAUAGUGGCAUCGCUUAUCAUCAUACAUCA
rnacentral:rRNA from 1 species